UACGUAGGAUCCAAGCGUUGUCCGGAUUUACUGGGUGUAAAGGGUGCGCAGGCGGACUUGUAAGUCAGGGGUGAAAUCUCACAGCUUAACUGUGAAAUUGCCUUUGAUACUGCAAGUCUUGGAUCCAGAAGAGAGUUGUGGAAUUCCGAGUGUAGCAGUGAAAUGUGUAGAUAUUCGGAGAACACCAGUGCGAAGGCAGCAACUUGGUCUGUAUCGACGCUCAGCACGAAGCAUGGAUCAACAGG
rnacentral:rRNA from 1 species